GACGAACGCUGGCGGCGUGCUUAACACAUGCAAGUCGAACGGAAAGGCCCUGCUUUUGUGGGGUGCUCGAGUGGCGAACGGGUGAGUAACACGUGAGUAACCUGCCCUUGACUUUGGGAUAACUUCAGGUAACUGGGGCUAAUACCGGAUAGGAGCUCCUGCUGCAUGGUGGUGGUUGGAAAGUUUCGGCGGUUGGGGAUGGACUCGCGGCUUAUCAGCUUGUUUGUGGGGUAGUGGCUUACCAAGGCUUUGACGGGUAGCCGGCCUGAGAGGGUGACCGGCAACAUUGGGAAGGAGAUACGGCCCAGAAUCCUACGGGAGGAAGCAGUGGGGAAGAUUGCACAAUGGGCGGAAGCCUGAUGAAGCAACGCCGCGUGCGGGAUGACGGCCUUCGGGUUGUAAACCGAUUUCGAAUGUGACGAAGCGUGAGUGACGGUAAUGGGUAAAGAAGCACCGGCUAACUACGUG
rnacentral:rRNA from 1 species